AGGGCAUACGGCGGAUGCCUAGGCGCCAUCAGCCGAUGAAGGACGCGGUAAGCUGCGAAAAGCUACGGGGAACUGCAAGCAAGUAUUGAUCCGUAGAUGUCCGAAUGGGGAAACCCACCUGCCGUCAUGGGCAGGUAUCCGAAAGGAAGGGAACCCGGGGAACUGAAACAUCUAAGUACCCGGAGGAAGAGAAAUCAAACGAGAUGCCCACAGUAGCGGCGAGCGAAGAGGGCAGAGGGCAAACCGGUGAGCUACGGCUCGCCGGGGUUGAGGACUGCAUUUAGUCUCAAUGGUCUAUCCGAACUACCUGGAAAGGUAGGCAAUACAGUGUAAAAGCCACGUAGGUUAAAGACCGGAGAGAUGAGCAGUAUCCAGAGUACCACGAGGCACGAGGAAUCUUGUGGGAAGCCGGGGGGACCACCCUCCAACCCUAAACACUGAAUGGCGACCGAUAGCGCAUAGUACCGUGAGGGAAAGGUGAAAAGAACCCCGGGAGGGGAGUGAAAGAGAACCUGAAACCGUAUGUCUACAAGCAGUCGGAGCGAAAGCGACGGCGUGCCUAUUGAAGAAUGAACCAACGAGUUACGUGCACUAGCGAGGUUAAGUGGAAGACACGGAGCCGAAGCGAAAGCGAGUCUUAAGAGGGCGGAUAGUUAGUGUACGUAGACCCGAAACCGCAGUGAUCUACCCAUGUCCAGGUUGAAGCGCAGGUAAAAUUGCGUGGAGGACCGAACCUGUGAGCGUUGAAAAGCUUUAGGAUGAGAUGUGGGUAGAGGUGAAAUUCCAAUCGAACGCGGAGAUAGCUGGUUCUCCCCGAAAUAGCUUUAGGGCUAGCCUCAAGUAGUAAGUAUAGGCGGUAGAGCACUGAUCGGGCUAGGGGCCAUAAAGGUUACCGAACCCUGUCAAACUCCGAAUGGUUAUACUGUAGAGCUUGGGAGUCAGACUACGAGUGAUAAGAUCCGUGGUCAAAAGGGAAACAGCCCAGACCACCAGCUAAGGUCCCCAAUGUCGUACUAAGUGGAAAAGGAUGUGGGGUCUCUAAAACAACCAGGAUGUUGGCUUAGAAGCAGCCACCAUUUAAAGAGUGCGUAAUAGCUCACUGGUCGAGAGACCCUGCGCCGAAGAUUACCGGGGCUAAAGUACGAAACCGAAGCUGUGGCUACGACAUAUGUCGUGGGGUAGGGGAGCGUUCUGUGAGGGCUGAAGUCGUUCUGUAAGGAACGGUGGACUUCACAGAAGUGAGAAUGUUGGUAUGAGUAGCGAAAAGAAUGGUGAGAAUCCAUUCCACCGAAAGCAUAAGGAUUCCUGGGCAACGAUCGUCGUCCCAGGGUAAGUCGGGACCUAAUCCGAGGCAUGGAGCGUAGGAGAUGGACAACUGGCAGAUAUUCCAGUACCGGUAAUGAUUGUUUGAGCGAUGGAGUGACACAGGAGGGCAGGCAGGCAGGAGAUUGGUUGUUCCUGUACAAGCGUGUAGGAUGGGACGCAGGCAAAUCCGCGUCCUGUGAGUCUGAGGCGUGAUGUGGAGGUUCCGGAAACGGAACUGAAGCUGCUGACCCCACACUGUCGAGAAAAGCUUCUAGUUAGAGAAUUACCGCCCGUACCGUAAACCGACACAGGUAUGCGGGGAGAGAAUCCUAAGGUGCGCGGGAGAACCCUCGUUAAGGAACUCGGCAAAAUGUACCCGUAACUUCGGGAUAAGGGUAGCCGCUGUUGUGAAGUCUGCACAGACGGAGCAUGAGGCGGUCGCAGAGAAGAGGCCCAAGCGACUGUUUACCACAAACACAGGUGCCUGCUAAAGAGAAAUCUGACGUAUAGGUGCUGACACCUGCCCAGUGCCGGAAGGUUAAGGAAGGAUGUCCGGAGCAAUCCAAAGCAUUCGACCGAAGCCCCGGUGAACGGCGGCCGUAACUAUAACGGUCCUAAGGUAGCGAAAUUCCUUGUCGGGUAAGUUCCGACCCGCACGAAAGGUGUAACGAUUUGGGCACUGUCUCAACGAGGGACCCGGUGAAAUUGAAGUACCUGUGAAGAUGCAGGUUACCCGCGACUGGACAGAAAGACCCCAUGGAGCUUUACUGUAACCUGACAUUGGGUUCUGAUACAUCACGUACAGGAUAGGUGGGAGGCAUGGAAGCGAGGACGCUAGUCUUCGUGGAGCCGCCGUUGGGAUACCACCCUUGAUGUAUCGGAAUUCUAACCGUAGGAGUAACGAAACUCGGGACAGUGUCAGGCGGGCAGUUUGACUGGGGCGGUCGCCUC
rnacentral:rRNA from 1 species